rnacentral:rRNA from 1 species
AGCAGCCGCGGUAAUUCCAGCUCCAAUAGCGUAUAUUAAAGUUGUUGCAGUUAAAAAGCUCGUAGUUGAAUUUCGGGAUCAAUACGCCGGUCGUGCCUCGGUACGUACUGACGUUAUUGGUUUCUCCCUUCUAACAAAUCGUGAUGUCAUUAAUUUGGUGUUACGGGGAGUUAGGACUGUUACUUUGAAAAAAUUAGAGUGUUUAAAGCAAGCAAU